UAUGACCUCAAAUCAGGUAGGAC
rnacentral:rRNA from 1 species